GAUGAACGCUAGCGGCAGGCCUAAUACAUGCAAGUCGAACGGUAGUUGUAGUAGCAAUACUGCAAUCAGAGUGACGUAAGGGUGCGUAACACGUAUGCAAUCUGCCCUCAACAGGAGGAUAGCUCGGGGAAACCCGGAUUAACCCUCCAUAACAUAAUUGGAUGGCAUCAUUUGAUUAUAAAACUAGAGGUGGUUGAGGAUGAGCAUGCGGANGAUUAGCUAGUUGGUAGUGUAACGGACUACCAAGGCAAUGAUCAAUA
rnacentral:rRNA from 1 species